GGUGGCUCAGUGGUAGAACGCUUGCCUUGCAUGCAUGAGGCCCGGGGUUCGAUUCCUCAGCACCA
rnacentral:tRNA from 1 species